AGCUUCUAGCCCCGCCCCCUCCAUUGACACUGGGGCCAAGCGCCUCCGCUGCUUGCAGUCCCUUCCCACCCCCGAGGCCUUUGCGGAUGGCUAUUAAGUUUACCCGGGUCUUUGGGUCGCUGUGGGCCCUCACCGACGAUAGUCUGGGAAAUGGUGGGGAAGGGGUCUAGAGAAAGAGGGGGGCCUGUGGGACCUGCACCAGCGAUUUCAUCCUUGAGACCCUAAAAUAUAGGGCCUGUCGGCGGAGUCUCCAUCUGGGUCCCCGUUUUUCCUUCCCAGGCUCACCCCGGCCCCAUUCAACAGGCAUUUACAAAAUCCAUCCUCCUGGCUGGGAGUCUUCCCGGCAGGCUGCCGGCCGCUGGUGCAAGAGACAAUGAGUUCAGUCCCUGCCCCUGCCCAACAGAAGGCAGGGAGAAUAAGGCUCGAAUAAUGUCUCAGUCCCAAGAUCCGCUGUGUUGCUUGUUCUCUUCAUUGAAUUUUUGGCAUCUUGAAAGUAGAGGUGAGUCCCCCUAGCAGAGGAGGUGGAGCAGGUAGAGAAGUCCCAUCCAAUCCCAUCUCAAGCUGCUUUUCCUAAAGGAUCUCUGCAAACUCUGCAAACAGGAGUUUCUAAAUAAAGGAUCCUGGACUUUCCUGGAAUGGAGGGAAAUUUCUUUUGGUUUUCCCCAGAGUCUGAAAGGCUACCAGCUGCCACUGUUGGUUGGUUAUCCAGACAUGAGCAUCUCAAAGGCCUUUAUACUAAGCACAUUGGUCUCAAAGGAAAAGAGGAAGGUGAAGACUCAACCCCUCACCCCCAAGUCUGGCUGCUCUUCUUUGGGUCCUAUUCAAAACACCUAUAAAAAAUGCAUAAAUUUUUGUAUCACUUGCAGAAUAGCUAAUAAAUAGUACCAAAGCA